CAUGGCUCAGGACGAACGCUGGCGGCGUGCUUAACACAUGCAAGUCGAACGGAAAGGCCCUGCUUGCAGGGUACUCGAGUGGCGAACGGGUGAGUAACACGUGGGUGAUCUGCCCUGCACUUCGGGAUAAGCCUGGGAAACUGGGUCUAAUACCGGAUAGGAGCCAUUUUUAGUGUGAUGGUUGGAAAGUUUUUUCGGUGUAGGAUGAGCUCGCGGCCUAUCAGCUUGUUGGUGGGGUAAUGGCCUACCAAGGCGGCGACGGGUAGCCGGCCUGAGAGGGUGGACGGCCACAUUGGGACUGAGAUACGGCCCAGACUCCUACGGGAGGCAGCAGUGGGGAAUAUUGCACAAUGGGCGCAAGCCUGAUGCAGCGACGCCGCGUGGGGGAUGACGGCCUUCGGGUUGUAAACUCCUUUCGCUAGGGACGAAGCUUUUGUGACGGUACCUAGAUAAGAAGCACCGGCUAACUAC
rnacentral:rRNA from 1 species